GUUCACGGCCGCGGUAUCCUAACCGUGCGAAGGUAGCGUAAUCACUUGUUCUCUAAAUAGGGACUAGUAUGAACGGCACCACGAAGGUUAUACUGUCUCCCCCUUUUAAUCAGUGAAACUAAUCUCCACGUGAAGAAGCGUGGAUAAUAAUAUAAGACGAGAAGACCCUAUGGAGCUUUAAACCAAUCCCCAAUGACCACGCUCUUCUACAAGCUUCUGCUUUUAAAAACUAAUACGGUUUUAUGGUAACUGGUUUUAGGUUGGGGUGACCCCGGAGUAAAAAACAACCUCCGGGCAGUAAGGGACCUCCCCUGAGCAACAAGCUACAACUUCAUGCACCAAUAUAUUGACAUCCAUUGACCCAAUAUUUUGAUCAACGAACCAAGUUACCCUAGGGAUAACAGCGCAAUCCGCUUCAAGAGCUCCUAUCGACAAGCGGGUUUACGACCUCGAUGUUGGAUCAGGGUAUCCCAGUGGUGCAGCCGCUACUAAAGGUUCGUUUGUUCAACGAUUAAAACCC
rnacentral:rRNA from 1 species